UGUCGCUGAUAGUUUUUUUUCCCGCAAUCCGGAUGGGGGCGCGAAUUGGGGCUUUUUAUAAAUUCGUCAUGGGGUGGGAAAGAACUGAUCACAGAUUUACCCACCAUAAUCGAGAGUAAGCUAAGUGCACCAUGAGUUGAAUAGACAAUGAUUUGCAGUGUUGAGUCGAAAGAAGUAAAGGAAACCGCAGAUUUUCCCUCGCAGGAAUUGUUCUGUUAUGUUAAUAAAGCGCAACUUGGCGGCUUGGUAGCGUAGUGGACAGGCGUCGGCCUCUUAUGCCUUUGGUUCUAAACUUAACCUUCAACCCAAGUGCUCGAAAAGUUGGCAGCUUUUACAGGGUUUAGAUCCCGUGUCACAAAAACAAGUGGCAAGAAAUGCGACUAAAUUACGUGUUGUUAAAAAAGGGAGGAGGAACCCUUCAUAACUGUCUCUCCUCAUCGGAUAUUGCUGCGCCGACGCCUAAAGUUGUUCUAGCAGGCGCCUUCGUGACCCCGAGUUGUCAUCUGACAGAAUAUUGGCAGCAGCCCCUGAAGGUGCCGAACACAUGACCCGGAACUUCAUAGCCCAGCAAACGAAAUUAACUGCUCUGGCAGUACCUUCACUGCUGCAGCUCCAGGCGGCGAGAAGUUAGCUAUUGAAGGUGAUGUGGAUUCGUACUGUUGUGUUGGAGGCGUCCAUGGACCUCGUAGUGCGUUUUGAUCCCCUGGCUGGCCUUUGUUAAACAAAUCUAGAAGCAUCAAAGAAUUUGCGCAGUUUUUUGCAUGACUGCUGUCAGAAGCACGUGUAUCCUGCUCAAUUUAAAAAAAAAAAAAAACAAUUUCCAACAUACGGCGCUUUGUUGUUAAAUAGUACAGGCUCGACGAGAGGCUAUGUCAGCCUUAUCGGAAACUAGGGGCCCGAGCCUUUGGGGGGUCCGGCGACACUGACACAAAAAAAAGAAGAAACAAAGAAAAAGAAAAGAGGAAAGAAAAAGGUGUAAAAACUCCUAAUAAGUAAAAACGUAAAGAUAAAGUAAAAUUUACUUUUUUGGUAUUUUCUGUUGUGGUAACUAAAAUAGAGUUAAUUAUUUUCUAAUAAGUAGUUUUGAAUUUUUUCCCCUCCCUCUUUUUUCUUUUUUUUUCUUCUUUUCUUCUUCUUUUCGGGGGCCCGGCUACGUAACUGACAAGGGACUCUCCUUGACUCUCUGUGCUCCUGAAAUGGUAUGUAUUCACAAUGAUGUGGGAUGCGGAAUAGAGUUUUUUCUGAAGAUGAAGCUGGUAAAACCUUUGUUGAAUAGUAUAAAAAUUUGUAAGUUUUUUUCAUGUAGCAUUUUUCUU